rnacentral:rRNA from 1 species
AGCAGCCGCGGUAAUUCCAGCUCCAAUAGCGUAUAUUAAAGUUGUUGCAGUUAAAAAGCUCGUAGUUGAAUUUCGGGGUUGGUAGAUUGGUCAUGCCUCUGGUAUGCACUGGUCUUACUGGCUCCUCCUUCCUGAUGAACCGUAAUGCCAUUAAUUUGGUGUUGCGGGGAGACUGGACUGUUACUUUGAAAAAAUUAGAGUGUUUAAAGCAGGCUAACGCUUGAAUACAUUAGCAUGGAAUAAUGAAAUAGGACGUUCGAUCUUAUUUUGUUGGUUUCUAAGAUUGACGUAAUGAUUAAUAGGGAUAGUUGGGGGCAUUAGUAUUCAAUUGUCAGAGGUGAAAUUCUUGGAUUUAUUGAAGACUAACUACUGCGAAAGCAUUUGUCCGAGGAUGUUUUCAUUAAUCAAGAACGAAAGUUAGGGGAUCGAAGACGAUCAGAUACCGUCGUAGUCUUAACCAUAAACUAUAGCCGACUAGGGAUCGGAUGAUGUUAAUUUUUUAAUGA